rnacentral:piRNA from 1 species
UAGAUGUGGGAGGAAGAAGGGAGGGAAA